rnacentral:rRNA from 1 species
UACGGGGGGGGCAAGCGUUGUUCGGAAUUACUGGGCGUAAAGAGCUCGUAGGUGGUUUGUCGCGUUGUUCGUGAAAACCGGGGGCUUAACCCUCGGCGUGCGGGCGAUACGGGCAUCACUGGAGUUCGGCAGGGGAGACUGGAAUUCCUGGUGUAGCGGUGAAAUGCGCAGAUAUCAGGAGGAACACCGGUGGCGAAGGCGGGUCUCUGGGCCGAUACUGACGCUGAGGAGCGAAAGCGUGGGGAGCGAACAGG